rnacentral:rRNA from 1 species
AAACAGCUUGCUGUUUCGCUGACGAGUGGCGGACGGGUGAGUAAUGUCUGGGAAACUGCCUGAUGGAGGGGGAUAACAGUUAGAAAUAGCUGCUAAUACCGCAUAAGCGCACAGUUCCGCAUGGAACAGUGUGAAAAACUCCGGUGGUGUGAGAUGGACCCGCGUCUGAUUAGCCAGUUGGCGGGGUAACGGCCCACCAAAGCGACGAUCAGUAGCCGGCCUGAGAGGGUGAACGGCCACAUUGGGACUGAGACACGGCCCAAACUCC